AGCAAGUCUGCAAUCAUCUCUGGCUGCUGUUGACCUGGUUUUUGGAGUAAAACAUGGUGGAAGCUGAAUUAGUGAGGAUGACUCCUGCUCCUGUCAUCUCUAAGCUUCUCACACAUCUUUACCUGCACAUGAGGAAAAUCACUCCUGUAGAAUGCAGAUGUUCAGAGGGAGAUGAUGCCACAUCUGGUCCAGCUGAUGGAAGGUCUUGAAGUUCUCUGACUGGCCUCGACUGAAGAUGGUCGUCUCACUGGAUUUAAGGUUCAGAUGCUCAGUAACAAACUCCACCAGUGAGCCAACAGGGAAGCUUUAGGUUUAUUAAAUGUUGCUAUGAAGGUAUCGCUGUUUUUCUUUGUGAAUGCAAUGUGCUCCAACUGAAACUUGAAUUAGAACUUAGAAGUAAAUCCUUCCAUCUGAAAGGAUUUAGUUGCAUUAAUAACCUCAUAACAUUCUAAUUUUUAUUCCAGUCUUGGUUGGAAAUAGAAUCUCUGUAUUGAUUCAGGUAAAAACUGAACUUCACAGCAUGUUGGAGCAAAACAACCAGAUGAAAACUGUGAUGGUGUUGGAUUGUCAGACUGUAAUGUUGCAGCUCAAAGCAGCUUUUCUAUCUCAGUUCAUUCUGACAUUCAGCUAUGAAUCAACACAGCAGAUGGUGAUCCAUGCUGUGGAAGUCUCACAUCUCCUGAUUUAAUGGAGCUGCUUUGCACUUUUUACACUGUUUAUUCACCCACACUUUAUUUAAUAAAAGUCCCAUCUAGUUUUUAUGAGGAAUGUGAUGUUUUAAUUUCUCUGUGAAUAACUGCAGUCUAAUGCAACAGCUGGAGUUGUAACAUCUGUCCUGAUAUUGAUCAUGAAGUAUUGAUCAGAAUACUUAUGGUCAGCAGUCAUCCCUGAAGUUUUACAUUAAAAUCUUUACUUGUGUUGUAAACUUUGGUAAGAAGCAGAAACGUUAGCGUUGCCAUGGAUACAUGAGUGUUAAAUUCUGUCCAUGUUUCAUUUUGGGAAAUGCAGUCCAGUUCCAGAAUGUGGAGGAAUUUAGUCUCACAAUCACAGACGAUAAAUAUUAUCUGAAAGUCAGGUUAUUGUUGUUUAUCAGCACAAUACAAAAAGAUUCAUGUUAGAAAUAUUCCAGUUAAGACUCUAGAAUAUCAGGAAUUAUGUAAAUUUACCUCAAUAUGAAUGUUCAGGUUAAGAUUGUGCAGUGAUAUUUAUUAUGUAAGUUUAGCUGAUUAAAGUUUAUGACUCGGCACAACAAUAUAAUUUAUUAUUUAAAUUGACAUCAUUAUUAUAAUAUUUAGGGUCAGACCCUACAGUAUUGAGAUUAAGAAAUCAAAUAUUCUAUAAAGUGUAAAUACACUGAACUCAUUUGGAUAUAUUUAAGUGAGACUCUACAAUAUUAUUUAUGACACAAAUCUAUCUAAAUCAACAUUUUAAUCAUUUUUACUCCAAACAUUUACUGGACCAAUUUAAAUAUUAAAAUCACUCCUUUCUAAUCCUCUGCUGUACAUUCAAACCUGAGGCCUUAAAUAGAAACACACAAGUAUCUGAUUGAAGGAACUUCUGCAGAGUCCUGGUUCCAGAACAUGAUGAUAGAAUUAUAGACAAACUUUAACAAAAGCUGCCUGAGAGUUUACAGGUUUUUAUGUUAGAUUUCUUCAGUAAUUUAAUGAGUGUUAUCAGCAAAAAUCAAGUGUUCAUUUGAUGAACUUCAUUUCCUAAAACAUCCAGAAUUGGAGCUCAUAUCUUUGGCAGCUGUAAAGUUCCUGCUCCUUCAAAGUUCACAACACAAUGUAUUAAUUCCUAAAACACUCUCAGUGCUGGAGAGCGUUUGUGAUGCUGAAGCAGUGAUCAGUUUUUCUGUUUCUUCUCUGGAGCUGCACAAUGAGGGACGUCUGCAGAGACUGAGAAAGAGUCUCACCAAAUCCUGACAUGAGGGAAAAAGACUUUAUUGAAGACUACAAUGAGAAAAACUAUCAGACAGCAGACGGCUGCAUUCAAGUCUGUAGCUGCUGAAUUCAUGGAUUAAUCAUCUGGCACUAGAGAAGAAGACCAUGAAACAUCCACAUCAGCUGAUGGAGGUCCAAGAGUCUCACUGAACAAACAACCUACAGAGUGAAGACCUCGAAUCUGAUUGGACGGCCUCCUAUUCAGCCACAUGUGUGAACAAAUGCCUCUAAGCUGAUUUGUUUUCUAAAAUAAAUCUAGUUUGAGUCCUAAUCUAUGCCUGUGUGUUUGCUUCUUUACACCACUGUUAACAGGUUUAGGCUGUUGGAUUGUUCCAGAUAAGACAAGUACAAGAUACUUCAGAGCCGUUCUACCACGAGCCUGACAGGAAGAACUCCAACAGCUACUGAAUGUUCCUGUGGUCCCCUCAAGGCUACAGGAGGAGCCCGACAAGGACGAGGCGGUCCACCUGUUGGCAGCCAGUUGCUGCGGUUCAAAGCCAACACCGACUACAUGGACUUCUACUGGACCACAUGGAGGCCUUUAAACCGGACCAACAACUUCAGCGACUCUCCGACUCAUGGGUCUGAGGACGCUGCCGAGCCUUGGC
ensembl:lncRNA